GUUGUUGACUGUAAUCUGGAACAAACUGCUGGUACCCAGAUGACAUGCUAGUCACAAAUUGAAGGUCAUGCCGUACAUAUCAAUAGUUCCUGGUGUAGUAGGAAAAGAUUUGUGCUUCCAGCGUCACUCCUGGUUUCGACUUCUGAGUAUGCUGGGUCCUAUCCCAGCAUCUCAGGCCGUAGACAGGGAAACCCUCUGGACAAGCUGGACAAUCAAUCACGGGGAUGACACACGUAAUUUACAGUCUUCAGUUCACCUAACCUGUUUGUCUUUGAGUGCGGGAAACUAGAGCAAACACACAUCAUCAUGGGGAAAACAUGCAAACGCCUCACAGGAUGUCUUCCGGCUCAGUCAGGACUGGAGCAGGGACCUUCAGUGACAGUGCCAUCCUAUUAGUGUGAUCCUAUUAAUCAUAAAGUUGAAAA